rnacentral:SRP_RNA from 1 species
GCUGGGUGUGGUGGCUCACGCCUGUAAUCCCAGCACUUUGGGAGGCUGAGGCAGGUGGAUCACCUGAGGUCAGGAGUUCAAGACCAGCCUGGCCAACAUGGUGAAACCCCGUCUCUA